GCCAGUUUGGUUUAGUGGGAAAGGCACCAGUCUAGAAAUCUGGAGACUGUGAGUUCUAAUCCCACCUGGCU
rnacentral:tRNA from 1 species